GCUGGGUGCAGUGGCUUGCACCUGUAUUCCCAGCACUUCAGGAGGCCAAGGUGGGAGGAUUGCUUGAGCCCAGGAGUUCUAGGCUACAGUGACCUGUGAUGGUGCCACGGUACUCCAGCCUGGGUGAUAGAGUAAGACCUUGUCUCUU
ensembl:misc_RNA Metazoa_SRP Metazoan signal recognition particle RNA